CUUGAAAUUCUCAAAUGAGCAUAUGCAUGUCUUAACAUUCAAUGCCUGGUUCAAGAUGCCUUAUUAUUGAAGAUGAUAAUUUGUUUCCUCAAGCAUUAAGUAUAGUACCACAGGACCAUGAAUACGAGUUCUCUUCCUCAAGUAGUAAAUAUAGUAAAUAAUGUUCUUACAGCAAUGUAUUUCAUCUUUUAUUCCAAAUCCACCUCAACCAUAAUUCCGCCAAACUAUAUUGCUUAUCUGGUUCAGAAACUUAUGGUUUCUUCAUGUCUCCUUCCUCCACUCGUUGCCUGUCUUCUAUUGCUCUAGCUGCUCUUCAAUUUUGACAAUCUAAACUAGUUGAUCUUCUGCUCAUCAGCUAAGACACUUCAGCUUUGAAAAAGGUAAAGGAAUGGAUCUCUUUUGGCCUGCGCUGAAUCCAAAGGAUGCUCCGUGCAAGCGGAAAACCUUUUCCUUUGUAUUCCUGUUUAAUUGUUUUAUGCUCUAGCUAUCGUUGAUUCUUUAGCUUUUCUAGGCAGGCCUGUAUAGUCUACGAAAUCUUUUGCUAAUGGCAAUUUGUAUUCUCAAAAGUGAGUUUCUUCGCCACCCUGCAUGGUUAGUGCAAGUGUUGUGAAUGUUCAAGAAAUAUGAGGUUUGAUUCUGAAUUAUUUCACUUUAGUUGUAAUCAGAAAUGUAGUUUCAGGUUUCCAUACCUAUCAUGCUUGGUCCAUCUAAUAGAGGAUGACCAUUACAGACCUGUUUGAUGAUACUUUUCUAGUAUAAACAGGAUGAUAGUGUGGGCUUGGGGUUGGGAAGCCCGAUGUGCGCUCUUUUUGCUGACUCUUAGAUCAUUUGUGAUUUGAUUUUUUUUUGUCCAUCUCAACUACUUUUGUUAGAUUAAGUACUUCGAUAUGUGUGUUUAUGUAUAUUAGAGAUGGAGAUGGGACAUGUAUAGUUUUACUUCUUCUUUUCCCCUUAGCCUGCUAUUGCUUUCACUAUUUUGACUCAAGAAGUGGGAAUCUGAAACUAGUCUAGAGAGUAAUCAUGCCCUUAAUUGGUUCUUUCUGGUUGGUGCUUUUUUUUUUUUUUAACUUUUCUUUUGUGCUUCUUGUAGUUCUGUUUCUCCUUUAAUCUUUUCUCUUCUUUUUUCUUUUUGGGUCCUUUAACUUUCUUUACGUUAUAACUAUUUACUGGUAUAGGAUAUGUUGGUUAUAUAUUUUGACAUACUAUUCAGUGUUUAUUUCUAUUCAAGAGGUGAUGCUCCUUUGCGUGAAUAUCCAUUGCUCUUUUAUCUAAAUGUUCUCUCUCUCUGGGGAUGGAACUGGGGUUUUGAGGUAAUUUCCUCAAUUUUGCUACUUGAAUUCAUGAGUUGUUAACUCUGAGAGAAUGUUAUAAUACCAACUUGUACUUUCUAUUCGGAUAAAUCCGCCUCUUAUUAAAGAAAUGAUGAGCUGGGAUCUAUUCUUUAUCAAACUUUUAGGUACCUUUUAAGAUUGGUAUCAUAGUACUGCUUAAAGGAUGCACUAAUUUUCCAUUAAUAUAGAAAAAUAGUUUUGAGCAGCUGCAUGAAGUGAAAAUUCCAGAAAGUGGAAGAUUUGAUAUGCUGUACGUUCCUGCCAUGAAAAAAUACUGUAGUAGUACUACACCUACACUAACCGAGCAUGAAAGAUACCGAUCUCCAUCCACCUUGUAAUCAACAUAACCAUGGAGUGCAUUGUUGUGGAUCUCCAGAAGUGGAGUGUGCUCCAGAAUUUUGCCUCUGCUCAUCUCAGGGGAGGUGAUGCCCAUAUGGAAUGAAAUCAAGAAGAGCAUUAGGAAUAUAAUGACAUCUUAGUCUUUUGUAAUUAGGUUGAGUACAUGAGCUGCUGUUUGGUACUAUAAAUAAAACGGAAAUGGGGCCUUAAUAAUCACAAUGAGGCAUCACUACUCACUCUUGCUUAAAAGUUCAAACUUCUUAAAAUAAGCUUAGUCACUUUGAGUCUGUAACCAAGUCUGCAAUGCCAAGACUUCUAAGAAGCCAUGGUGGUUAGUCAUCAUCUUAAGGUAACAUGAACAUGCAAAAGCAUGCCCAUGUAUGGUUACUAAUUGCCCAGGUGCGCAGAAUUAACAGCAUGAAUAUAAUAAUAUAAUGGUGUCCUAACCUUAACCGUGGCUGUUGAAUUUUUAGAUUUCUUCGUGGAUCAGGAACAUAGUUUGUUCUUGGUUAGUGUUUGCCACAUGAAUCAUGAGUUUGUUUUGUCUUUUCUAGUCUUUCUCAUGAAUCAGGGGUUGUGGAAAAUAAGAACAUCAGAGAGAUCACUUGGUAAAAAAUCUCUCUGCUUUCCUAUCUAUGGUGAAGCCAUCUAUUACCUAUAAGCUUUUCAAUACAUCAUAUUACUAUUUUAUGGUAAUGGAUAGCCAAAUGUUCAGUUGCAUCCCCUUUGUGCACGGGUUUAGCACUAUCCUCAUAGGGCAUUUUUAAGUUUGAAAGAUAAAUAGGAUACAAGCGGAGGACAUUUGCCAACUUCUUCAUCGUUUCGUCGUCCUUUGUCACCGGCUGAUGUGUGCUGCGCAUGACUUCUUUUAUUUUAUUUUGUUUUAUUUUUCGGUCUUUUCACCCUUGUUUCUUUCACUUCUCUCGCUGGUCUCCCAUGACCGGUGAUUUUUUAUUAUUAUUUUGUUUUUCAAAAUCUCACUUCUAUUCUCCAUAUCCUAAAUAUUUCUAUGAUUUGUUUCUCUUAUAAUACCGCCUCUUCUUCCCUCCCCUGAAUAAAGAGAAGGGAAGCUACAAGAGCGCAAAGUAGAAGAAGUGAAAUUCAGAGGAUGAAUACCGUGCUCUUUCAGAUUACUACCAUCAGGGAUGGCCAUGGAAGAACAUCAUCAAGAACUGUUGUGUGUAGCUUAGUCCAAACUUUAGGAAAGGUGGAUUGUCAUCAGGAGAAGAACUGCUUUUAUAUUAGGUAUAGGGAUGCUCUUCAGAAACUUUAGGCAAGGCGAAAUGUUGCAGCAAGCUUCACAUUUCUGGAUAAACUUCAAGACCAAAUUAUAGGUAUUGAGCUAUGUGCACCAUAUCCGGAUAUUGGGCCUGCAUAUAUUCUUGUUACUCGAGGAGAAUUGUUGCAAUGAACUUGGUUUCAUACCCUACACUUGGCAUUUAACUGUACGAAUAAAAUUGUGACUCCAUAACAUUAAUAUACUCGUAUGGCUGAUAUCAUGCCACAA